GUCUCGAUAGUAUAAAAAUUACCCUGGUCUUGUAAACCAAAAAUGAAGAACUAAUCUUCUCGAGACACACA
rnacentral:tRNA from 1 species